AGAAAGAAGCUCGUGGAAAAGAGUCAAAGUGAUUCUAUACUUGAAAUAGGGAAGAAGCUGAUUGCCUUAGGUGAGCAUCAUCAAAAAGAGAUUCAAGCCUUGAAAGAGGAACAUGCACAGGAAAUGCUGGAGCGCGACAGAGAGUUGAAUGCCUUGAAAGAGGAACAUGAACGGCAGAUGUGGGUGUGCACCUCGCGGCACAUAGACGUGGGAGAUUGGCAUGAGAACGCCGGAGAGAUGAACAACCCCACGGAGACACCUGCCACUGCUCAGGCCACCACCUACUUCUUCAACUCUGACCACUUCGCGUCCCAAACAGCGUAACUCGGCAUGACAUAUGUAGCAGGGGUAAACAUUUUGAACCACUAAACCCUUAUUUUAUAUUUUCGAAUUUGGAUUCCCUAAGGCCUCAAACUGUACUGAGAGGCAUGAAUAAUUGCAAGAUGGACACCUUCUUUGUGAGACAAUGUGGUAUUUUAUCAUAUGGGCUGGGCUCGGUCUAUUGUAUAUUCUCUUUAUUAUGUAACCUUUUAGCUUGCCUGAGG